GGACAGACGGGGACAUUCGUAUUGCGGCGCUAGAGGUGAAAUUCUUGGACCGUCGCAAGACGAACUAAGGCGAAAGCAUUUGUCAAGAAUGUUUUCAUUAAUCAAGAACGAAAGUUAGAGGUUCGAAGGCGAUCAGAUACCGCCCUAGUUCUAACCAUAAACGAUGCCAGCCAGCGAUUAGCCUGAGUUCCUUAAAUGACUCGGCUAGCAGCUUCCGGGAAACCAAAGCUUUUCGGUUCCGGGGGAAGUAUGGUUGCAAAGCUGAAACUUAAAGGAAUUGACGGAAGGGCACCACCAGGAGUGGAGCCUGCGGCUUAAUUUGACUCAACACGGGAAAACUUACCUGGUCAGGACACUGGAAGGAUUGACAGAUUGAGAGCUCUUUCUUGAUUCAGUGGGUGGUGGUGCAUGGCCGUUCUUAGUUGGUGGAGCGAUUUGUCUGGUUAAUUCCGAUAACGAACGAGACUCUAGCCUACUAAAUAGACUGCUCAACUUUAUAGCUGCAUCACCUUGCAGUUGCUUCGGUGGCUGUAAGGCUGUGGUGACGUUGGCAGUGCUUCUUAGAGGGACAGGCGGCGGUUCAGCCGCACGAAACAGAGCAAUAACAGGUCUGUGAUGCCCUUAGAUGUCCAGGGCCGCACGCGCGCUACACUGAAGUGAUCAGCGUGCAAUUAACGUUUCCUACUCCGUCAGGAGUGGGUAACCCGUUGAACCUUCUUCGUGAUUGGGAUAGGGGAUUGUAAUUAUUCCCCUUGAACGAGGAAUUCCCAGUAAGCGCAAGUCAUAAGCUUGCGUUGAUUACGUCCCUGCCCUUUGUACACACCGCCCGUCGCUAC
rnacentral:rRNA from 1 species